AAAAAAUACAAAUUCACACAACACGGACAAGCCAAACCAAAGUACACCUCUAACUUUUUGUGAAGUGACUCUUGUACUACUCUGAGCUUACUGAGUAACUGAAGUUAAUUGCACUGUUUUUGCUGCUGCUUAUUCACAGUGUUUUCCUGAAGAGUUCUGUAGCUGAUCUUCCUUGUAGUUUGCAGCACUAUAAAAUUUGCCAUCGACACUACCCACCUACCUCCAAGGUUCCAAAAUAAACAAAAGAAGCCUUAUCCUGUACUUCUGAUGGAAUAAGCAAUGCUACUUCUAAGGGUUCCAUGAAGACUCCCUUUCUGCCAGGUUAUCCCCAUCAACCUGCUGCCAUCUGGGGCUUGCUCUUCUUACCCACAGAGCUGUCCUCACAGGCAGCACUGAAGGAGGAGGGAGGCUGGUGAGAGCUUCCCAGAGUACAGUGAACACAGACAAAAACUCACAUCUUCCAAGUCUCCUAAUAUUCUUUAAAAUGCUGCCAGACCAUCUUUUUAAAAUGUAGAUUGUACAGACAAAUCAUGCAGUCUUGUUAAUUUCUCCAAUUCUUGUCUGACAGUUCAGCUGUGAUUUUCGGUCCUUCUGGCUAUUCAUUUGGGGUGAUUUUUUUCACUUGGCAAACACAAGUCAUGGCUCCUUUCUCACGGACUGAGAGACAAAUGUUGAUGAUCCUCUCACAGUCAAAUAGCAAACCUAUCCAGACAUGCUCACGCAGCCCAGCAGCACCAUGCCAUCACUAUCCUUUGACUCAAGAAAAAUUAUUCCUUUUGAUGCCAAGAGUAAUUUAACAGAAUACAGAUGGAGGACAUGCAGAGUUUGGCCCAGUAGUUUUGACUAACAAAAUCAUGGUUGCUUUAGCUGUUUAUUCCCAUAGGAUUUUUUUUGUUGUUGUUGAUAAUGUGGGUUACUGGAAAGCACUUCUAGGCUUCAGAAGAGAUGAUUCAAAUCUGAUAGGGGGAGGGGGGAGUAGGCAGGUGGUGCAUGUUAAUUUGAGAUUGUUCAGAUCAACUAACCUUCAGCUCCUUUUCUCUGCCAAGUUCUCUCCUGGAUUUAUUCAGCACUCUAUGAAUUACUGCCUUUCCGCUUCUGCUCCUGGGGGGCCAGGCAACCAGUACUGCACAAGAUUCAUAAUGUCCUUCUUCCAUGACUCCAAAUACAAGCUGGUACAGUCAGAGUGGAGUCAGUGAUCCUCCACACACAGUUAGGCAAGACAAGAAGGCAAAAGAAGUGCCAAGAAUGAAAUAAUACUGUAUGAGGUUGCAUUUUUAUGUGAUCUGCUCCAUCUCUCUUUUUGGGCCUCAUAUCAAAUCAGCUAGAGUUACAGAGCUAACUGUAAUCCUGUUAUAAACUCCUUCCAGACAGGCAAAGGAAUGCCCCUCCUUACAACAGGCCAGAUACUUUAGUAUAAUACAAAUGCUCUAUUAACUUUUGGGUUAGCUAAUGGACGUAUUCCUGAAGUUUAAACUCACAGGUUAACUCACAAAAUUAUCUGUUAAAUCGCUUUGGUUUUAGUUCUGAAAACAUUUGUCUAACUGAUUUUAAAUUAAAAGGUUUCAAGAAAAAAAAGUCCAAGCACCCAAACAGAUGGCUGCAGGCAUGUUUGAUCACUUGAAAUAGCUAGUGAAGCUCAGCCUUGCUAGGGCAGGCACAGUGACUAUUUGGGUCUCCUGUGUUUCUAUGGGAUGCAGAGUUGCACAGUCUUUUCAUCAGGGUCUCUACAAAGCCAUUACACCAGAAGACAUUGUCUGCCAGCUUUACUUGCUAAGAUGAGUGUAAACAAAAUUCUCCUUAACUACACAAUACAAAUGGUCCUUGUGUCAUCAAAAGCAGUUUUGCUUUUUGUUAACUGUUCAACAGAGGAAUUUUCCACUGAAACAGCAGUAGAUCCCACAUGUGAUAUGAUGGGGAAAACACAGAAUGUAUCCGAGCAUGCUGCACAUUGAUCACAAAUUAUUUAGACUUCAAAACCUCUUGGACUACUGCUACUGAUGCAAAAGAAUCCUUUGUAACAACUGACACUAUGCAAUCUACAUCCGAAAUCAUGAAGAAUUCUGCUAAUGGCCAAGAAACUGAUAUAUGGCCAAAAAAAAAAGAAGCCUGUACCACUCCCAUACCAUCUGUAGAGUAGUAGCAUCAGAGAGUUAUGAAAACAUCUGUCCAACUGUUCAACAUGAAAGGAGUGCUUUAGGCCAGCCAAUGGACCCAAGCCAAAACUUUUGGACCUCACUGUAAGACUUAGACCCUACUAAGGGGCUGUCCUAGGGUGACGUUAUGAUGCUUGUAUCCCCAUUUGUGUAUUCUGUUUAUGCUGGAUACUAUGUUCUGUGACUUCAAGACUGGCUCUGAGGAGUGAAUGUUUUGUUUUGGUUUUGUUAUCAGUCAGCUCCCCCACAGCUGGUGGGACACGGAGACAGGCAGUACAUAGUGCGACUUUUGCUUUUUGGCUUGGUUUUUUGCUUGGCUUUUGCUCUUGCUUCUGCUUUGCUCCUGCUUUGCUCUUGCUUUUUGCUUCUGCUCAUUAAUUAGUUUAGCUAAGCAGUCUGAAUUUUUCCCUGGACUGUUUUUCUUUCCCUUUUUUGGAACUACUUGAACCUGCUCCAGACUGGGAUCUGGGAAACACCAAGAGUUUGCACUUUGUGGCCUGCAGCAGCCAUCCCCAGUGCCGGAGGGACCAACAACAGAGCAACCAUUCCCAAGAGACUGUCUGAACUUGUCAUCCUUUUCAGAGCGGUGAAAGAGUGUUCUCAUCCGGAGCUGAGUUUGCCUUCUGCUGGGGCUGGGAUGAUGCAAGUAUGUCUGCAAUCCAGUAUUAUUUUUUAUCUGUCCCUAGUACUCUCCUAGCAACUCUCUUUUUCCUCAAGCAGAGCUAGCUAAGUGGCAAGCAGCUCUGAGGGUGGAUCUCCACACCUACACAAAAUCCCACAGGAACAGGCUGUGUUUUGUGUGAAGACAAGUGGUUCCUGGCAGCUUUAGGUUUAUGCAAGCUGAGACUUCAAAAAGCAGUGCUACCUCAGGACUCCCAGAAGAAAUCUACUUAAGCAGCUUUUUUCUCCAGCUCUAUAACUUUAUUGAGGCUGAUGAACAUUUGGCAUAUACUUGAAGGAUAUCUGGCCACAUUUGAGCCUCCAGAGAUAGAGUUCUACAACAGAGAUCCCAGAAACAACUUUAAAGCUCUGGGCCUCAAUCACCAGAGAUACUCUUCUGAUAUCCAGAGAAAUAUGAACAUGACUGAAGACUACAAAAUUACAAUCUUAUUAAAAAAAAAAAAAAAAAAAGUAAAUCUUUAUUUGAUGGGGAGGGACAGAAUACUUUAAUACUGCAGUGCAAGUAACAAAUCAAGCCUUGGUUCCCCGAAGUCAGAAAGAAUUUGGACCAAGGGAAGAGUACAGAGUGAACUAAGUUUAGUCUUAAGCAAUAUUAGCUUAAGUAUUGUAAUAUAUGUUAUAAAAUAAUUCGUGCUAAAGGAAAUUAAAAACCACAGCAUUUUGUGCGCUAAACCCAGUGUCGGGCAACAAGCAGUAACAGGCUAAGUAAUAAGGAUGGCGAUUCAAACACCAGGAGGACGACCGUCUCCAGAGAUAUAUAUUUCAAGGGUUUUUUUUCAUCUGACAAGACCCCAGCAGAAGGCAUUUGAUAGGCAUCAUCAAUUAGAUAAUAUUUGAUGCCAGAAGUUUAUCCCAGAAGAUUUUCACCUGACAGGACUUCAGCAAUUAUUCACCAGUUCUGAGAAAUGCAGCAGCAAGAAAGAAAAAAAGCUCCAGUAAUAUGCUAAAGAAGGGACCCCUUCCAGAGCCCAAAAGACUGUAUAAAAUGAACCCCUUAGAAAUGACAUUUGGAGACCCACAGGGACUUUGGUGUGAUAGAAGCCAAACCCUGGGUUUCCCCAAUUCUGAUUGCUUGGCUCAGAGUCGAAUUGCUUGGGGCUUUUUAC